GAUAGCACCCUUAAACGUUUCAAUAUAGGUACCAAAUCAUGCACCACAUCAUUAGCUAAAUAGUUAUACGGCCAUAGAGGUUUUGGUAGUGCUAAGAAUGUUCGUAAACUAUUCAUUUGGUAGAAAAUUUCAAACCUUUGGAAGAUAUCACGUGAAUAACAAGUGAAUGCAGAAUGGCGAACUUUUGAAUAGGACUUUGUGCCCUUCGACUUAUCAUCCAAAUUAAAACAUUCUUCUCCGCUAACAGAUUGAGCUAGAUCAUUA
rnacentral:misc_RNA from 1 species